AGAGUUUGAUCAUGGCUCAGAUUGAACGCUGGCGGCAGGCCUAACACAUGCAAGUCGAACGGUAACAGGAAGCAGCUUGCUGCUUUGCUGACGAGUGGCGGACGGGUGAGUAAUGUCUGGGAAACUGCCCGAUGGAGGGGGAUAACUACUGGAAACGGUAGCUAAUACCGCAUAACGUCGCAAGACCAAAGAGGGGGACCUUCGGGCCUCUUGCCAUCGGAUGUGCCCAGAUGGGAUUAGCUAGUAGGUGGGGUAACGGCUCACCUAGGCGACGAUCCCUAGCUGGUCUGAGAGGAUGACCAGCCACACUGGAACUGAGACACGGUCCAGACUCCUACGGGAGGCAGCAGUGGGGAAUAUUGCACAAUGGGCGCAAGCCUGAUGCAGCCAUGCCGCGUGUAUGAAGAAGGCCUUCGGGUUGUAAAGUACUUUCAGCGGGGAGGAAGGGAGUAAAGUUAAUACCUUUGCUCAUUGACGUUACCCGCAGAAGAAGCACCGGCUAACUCCGUGCCAGCAGCCGCGGUAAUACGGAGGGUGCAAGCGUUAAUCGGAAUUACUGGGCGUAAAGCGCACGCAGGCGGUUUGUUAAGUCAGAUGUGAAAUCCCCGGGCUCAACCUGGGAACUGCAUCUGAUACUGGCAAGCUUGAGUCUCGUAGAGGGGGGUAGAAUUCCAGGUGUAGCGGUGAAAUGCGUAGAGAUCUGGAGGAAUACCGGUGGCGAAGGCGGCCCCCUGGACGAAGACUGACGCUCAGGUGCGAAAGCGUGGGGAGCAAACAGGAUUAGAUACCCUGGUAGUCCACGCCGUAAACGAUGUCGACUUGGAGGUUGUGCCCUUGAGGCGUGGCUUCCGGAGCUAACGCGUUAAGUCGACCGCCUGGGGAGUACGGCCGCAAGGUUAAAACUCAAAUGAAUUGACGGGGGCCCGCACAAGCGGUGGAGCAUGUGGUUUAAUUCGAUGCAACGCGAAGAACCUUACCUGGUCUUGACAUCCACGGAAGUUUUCAGAGAUGAGAAUGUGCCUUCGGGAACCGUGAGACAGGUGCUGCAUGGCUGUCGUCAGCUCGUGUUGUGAAAUGUUGGGUUAAGUCCCGCAACGAGCGCAACCCUUAUCCUUUGUUGCCAGCGGUCCGGCCGGGAACUCAAAGGAGACUGCCAGUGAUAAACUGGAGGAAGGUGGGGAUGACGUCAAGUCAUCAUGGCCCUUACGACCAGGGCUACACACGUGCUACAAUGGCGCAUACAAAGAGAAGCGACCUCGCGAGAGCAAGCGGACCUCAUAAAGUGCGUCGUAGUCCGGAUUGGAGUCUGCAACUCGACUCCAUGAAGUCGGAAUCGCUAGUAAUCGUGGAUCAGAAUGCCACGGUGAAUACGUUCCUGGGCCUUGUACACACCGCCCGUCACACCAUGGGAGUGGGUUGCAAAAGAAGUAGGUAGCUUAACCUUCGGGAGGGCGCUUACCACUUUGUGAUUCAUGACUGGGGUGAAGUCGUAACAAGGUAACCGUAGGGGAACCUGCGGUUGGAUCACCU
rnacentral:rRNA from 2 species